UACAGAGGGUGCGAGCGUUAAUCGGAAUUACUGGGCGUAAAGCGUGCGUAGACGGCUAUCUAAGUCGGGUGUGAAAGCCCCGGGCUCAACCUGGGAAUUGCAUUCGAGACUGAAUAGCUAGGGUACGGUAGAGGGAAGUGGAAUUUCCGGUGUAGCGGUGAAAUGCGUAGAUAUGCGGAGGAACACCGAUGGCGAAGGCAAUCCCCUGGGCCUGCACUGGCGCUCAUGCACGAAAGCGUGGAGAGCAAACAGG
rnacentral:rRNA from 1 species